GGGGAUGUACCUCAGUGGUAGAGCGCACGCUUUGCACGUGUGAGGCCCCGGGUUCAAUCCCCGGCAUCUCCA
rnacentral:tRNA from 1 species